ensembl:lncRNA
CUUCAUUCAGUGUAUCCACCCUCUAUACACUGCCUGCACUGUGGCAGUUUAGAGAGGGGCAGAGAGAACAUAUUCACAUUACUCCAAUUAAAGAAUAUGUAAAAAUUAUUUUAUUUUAUUGUUAGUUAUUAUUGUUAACAACUUAUAAAUUAAAUUUUCUCAUAGGUAUGUAUGUGUAGAAAAACAAUCAUAUUAAAGGCAGGGCUUAGUACUACUCUCAGUUUCAGGCAUCCAGUAAGGACCUUGGAACACAUCCCACAUGGAUAAGGGGGACUAUUGCAUCUUAUUUUAAUUGCUAUGUUAUCCAGGUGCGGUGGAGCACACCUAUAAUCCUAGCACUCUGGGAGGCUGAGGUAGAAAGAUCACAAGUCCAAAUUCAAGCCCACCUCAGGCAACUUAGCAACUUAGUAAGACCCUAUCUCAAAAUUUAAAGACAAUUUUUUGAAGGGAGAUAGAAAAUUUGCAAAAUAGAAGGGGACCAAGAGAGGAAGACAGAGAAGGGGAGGGGAAGUGAAAAGGAUAAGAACAAAAUUAAGAUGUGUUAUGUACAUCUGCCAACUCUCUUCAAGGGAUGUAAUCAUUAUGUACUGCAAGCAUGUACUAAGAAAAACAAACAAAUAAAAGAGGUCUUUUAAAAGGAAAGAAAGGGGAGGCUGGGGGUGUAGCUCAGUGCUAAGGACCUGCUUUCAAUCCCCAGGACUGCAAAAAAAUAAUUGUAAUGUUAACUUAAUUCACAGCUUAAUGGUAAGGGAGGCCAGAGGAUGGAGAGGAAGGCUCUCUCUGCAUCCCCAUUGCUCUGGCCAUGGCUUCAUGCCAGUGCUUUGCUCACUAACCCUUACAGACGCCACACAUCCACAUCUCACAUCACUCUUCCUGGGAAAUAGGAGGAAAGAUGUACAUUAGUCAGCACCCUCCAGACUGUGUAUGAGAGUUUUCUUUUUCUCAGGAUUUUUUAAAAAUUAUUUUUCCUGGUAUUGUUAUUGCCUGUUAAUUUUAAAAAUAUUUGGUUUCAGUGUGCGCAAUCUGUUUUGAUCAUAUCCAUCUGUGAUGAUCAUUAGUUGUGAUUUGUCAGCUUGACUUCAGCAAGAACCACCUAGCAGGAGGCACCUGGACAGAUGAGCUGAAUUCUCCAGUGUGUUCCAUGGUUCUCAUCACCCCUGCCUCUCCCCUCCAGCCCUUCCCACACUAAUGUGAGUGCUCCCUGCCCAGCAUUCACACACCAUAUUUGGAAUAUGAUUCACUUUUUCCAUGCAUAGCAUAAUUCAUUUAUUUCUAAAAUAGGCCCUUAGGAAAUACCCAUCAAAUGUCAAAUUCUGGGCUUGCUCCUGUCCCCAAGUUACUAAAACUCUAUAAGUGGUAAGGUGGGGAAGUCACCAGCCUGAAUUCUGGGAGAGCUGACUGCUGACUCCCGUCCCUGCAUCUCCACUUGUGCAGAAGAGAGUAAAUUCCUUCUUCUCCUGGAUUCCUCCAGGCACUGCACUUAGAACCAGAGCACUGAGUAUACACCUGGGUUCCAGAUGACCUUGAACCAAUUAUCCAGCCUCUCCACCCUCAAUUUAUUCUGUGGACAAUGGGAAUCUGAUGGCUCAUAUCUGACAAGAUUUGUCUUACUAGUAUAGUGUACCCUAAAGGUAAACUUGUUUUUGGUACCAGGGAUCGAACUUAGGACCAUGAGCUUUUGAGGCAGGCGUGACACCACUCAGCUAAAUCCCUGGCCCUAAAGAUAAACUCUUUACAAAUAGCAUGAGUUUUCUUUGAAGUUCAAGGUUUCUUUCUUGUAUUGUGAAAAUUCUUUUUCUUCUCCCACCAUUUGUAACAGAACUAUAUUUUCUUGGUCCACAUAAUUUUGUUUUCCUUUUUCCUCCUCUUUUUCUUCAUCUCCCUCCUUCCUCUUCUCUUUCAUGUCCAUCUUUGUAUCAUUACUAUUAUUAUUAUUAUCAUUAACUGUUAUUAACCUAAGCCCAAACACCACAAAUUAAUUGUGAUGGAAGCAAAGACUUAGAAAAGGCCCGGGAAAUGAAGGAAUUGAAGAAACAGAGGCAGCUGCCAAAUCAGACUGGAGGCCAACUUAUUAAAAGGGCUCACAGCUAAGAGUUUGCUGUAAGGGUUCCUUGAGUCUCAGAGAUUUUACGCUUGUUUUGUUGUUGGUGGUG